UACGAAGGGGGCUAGCGUUGCUCGGAAUUACUGGGCGUAAAGGGCGCGUAGGCGGAUAGUUUAGUCGGAGGUGAAAGCCCAGGGCUCAACCCUGGAAUUGCCUUUGAUACUGGCUAUCUUGAGUUCGGGAGAGGUGAGUGGAACUCCGAGUGUAGAGGUGAAAUUCGUAGAUAUUCGGAAGAACACCAGUGGCGAAGGCGACUCACUGGCCCGAUACCGACGCUGAGGCGCGAAAGCGUGGGGAGCAAACAGG
rnacentral:rRNA from 1 species